rnacentral:rRNA from 1 species
GGAUAAACGCUGGCGGCGCACAUAAGACAUGCAAGUCGAACGGAAGUCGUUAUAAAAGGAGAGAAGAUUUGUCGGAUUGAAUUUUAUAACAAUGGCUUUAGUGGCGGACUGGUGAGUAACGCGUAAGGAACCUACCUAUUAGAGGGGAACAACAAUGAGAAAUCAUUGCUAAUACCGCAUAUGCCAUAACUACCGCAUGGUAGAAGUGGGAAAGGAGUAAUCUGCUGAUAGAUGGCCUUGCGUCUGAUUAGUUAGUUGGUGGGGUAACGGCCUACCAAGACGACGAUCAGUAGCCGGACUGAGAGGUUGAACGGCCACAUUGGGACUGAGAUACGGCCCAGACUCCUACGGGAGGCAGCAGUCGGGAAUAUUGCGCAAUGGAGGAAACUCUGACGCAGUGACGCCGCGUGCAGGAAGAAGGUUUUCGGAUUGUAAACUGCUUUAGACAGGGAAGAGAAAGGACAGUACCUGUAGAAUAAGCUCCGGCUAACUACGUGCCAGCAGCCGCGGUAAUACGUAGGGAGCGAGCGUUAUCCGGAUUUAUUGGGUGUAAAGGGUGCGUAGACGGGAAUACAAGUUAGUUGUGAAAUACCUCGGCUUAACUGAGGAACUGCAACUAAAACUAUAUUUCUUGAGUACAGGAGAGGUAAGUGGAAUUCCUAGUGUAGCGGUGAAAUGCGUAGAUAUUAGGAGGAACACCAGUGGCGAAGGCGACUUACUGGACUGAAACUGACGUUGAGGCACGAAAGUGUGGGGAGCAAACAGGAUUAGAUACCCUGGUAGUCCACACCGUAAACGAUGAAUACUAGGUGUGGGAGGACUGACCCCUUCCGUGCCGCAGUUAACACAAUAAGUAUUCCACCUGGGGAGUACGACCGCAAGGUUGAAACUCAAAGGAAUUGACGGGGGCCCGCACAAGCAGUGGAUUAUGUGGUUUAAUUCGACGCAACGCGAAGAACCUUACCAGGAUUUGACAUCCAACUAACGAAGUAGAGAUACAUUAGGUACCCUUCGGGGGAAGUUGAGACAGGUGGUGCAUGGUUGUCGUCAGCUCGUGUCGUGAGAUGUUGGGUUAAGUCCCGCAACGAGCGCAACCCCUAUUGUUAGUUGCUACGAAAGAGCACUCUAGCGAGACUGCCGUUGACAAAACGGAGGAAGGCGGGGACGACGUCAAAUCAUCAUGCCCCUUAUGUCCUGGGCUACACACGUAAUACAAUGGCGGUCAACAAAGAGAAGCAAGACAGUGAUGUGGAGCAAAUCUCAAAAAAUUGUCCCAGUUCAGAUUGUAGGCUGCAACUCGCCUACAUGAAGUCGGAAUUGCUAGUAAUCGCGGAUCAGAAUGCCGCGGUGAAU